AGUGAACGCUGGCGGCAGGCCUAACACAUGCAAGUCGAACGGAAGCACCGUACGUGCUUGUGGUUACAGGGGCGGAGUGGUGAGCAAGGGCGGUAAACCUCCCUACCAACUGUGUAGAACGUGGGAAAACGGGGGCGAAUACGCCAAUAAUCCAGACGGACAAAGGGUGAAAUCAUCGGACUUUAGGUGAUUAUGUGAGGGUAGGAGGCGUGGCUGGGUUUGUUUGUUGGAGGGGUAAAGGCCCGACAAGGCGAAGCUCCGUUGAUGGUCUGAGAGGAUGAUCAGCCACACUGGAACUGAGACACGGUCCAGACUCCUACGGGAGGCAGCAGUGGGGAAUAUUGGACAAUGGGCGCAAGCCUGAUCCAGCCAUGCCGCGUGGGUGAAGAAGGCCUUCGGAUUGUAAAGCCCUUUUGUUUGGAAAGAAGAGCAGUAGGUUAAUACCCCGCUGUUCUGACGGUACCCAAAGAAUAAGCACCGGCUAACUUCGUG
rnacentral:rRNA from 1 species